UCACAGAAAAUGGUUGUUUCUACAAGACGCAAAUUUCAUUUGCUUCUCUUCAACAAAGUAAUUGUAGUUUUACUCCUUUAGGAGAAUAGUUAAGGCUUGAGAUCCUUCAAGGAGAGACUAGCUACUGACACUGUGCAACUACCUAAUAUGUCGUGGUUCCUCAAAGGACUAAAGAAAAAACAAAAUAUUUUAACUUGUGACCAACUUUACCACCCUAAUAAGAGUUGCAAAAGUUUCCCUGCAAUUCCACAGUUCACAGUUGGCUCAAUUUCAAACAAAGGGAAGCUUAACAUCAAUAUUCUGAUGAGGUCAAGAAAGAGAUCAAUGACCAGAUGGUUAUUAUUAACAAUUUCAAAGACACACCAGUUUGGAUCCUGUCUCAAACUGGAAAUUUCUCUAGUGGUUCAACUUGGAAAGAUAUGAGGCAGGAAAGAAAUCCAAACUACUUGGAUAGCAGACUUUGGCACACAAUAACAUUCCUUUCAAAAUGUCUUUCCUAACUUGGAGGCCAUUCAUGACAAACUCUCUACAGACCAAAAAGCCCUCUUUGCAUAAACACUAGCAACAUCAAUUUGAAGUUCACCCUACUCAAGUGGUGGAAUCAUAGGACCAAGAACCCCUUCUGUGCACUUAUCAUCAAGAUCCUUCCUAAUCUGGUUUGUUGGGAGAUCUGGAUCAAGAUGCAGCAACAAACAUGAAGGUGAGAGAGACCCUCAAGAUCAAUCUCUAAUGUUAUGUUCACUAUUCUGCAGGUACGCAGAACCAGAUUUGGGAAGGCAAAAUUUGGAGGCUCAUGGAUAGCUAUAUGCCAAGCAUGUGAGCAUAACUUUCAGCAAAAAGACUCAACAAUUGCGAAAUGGAUCAGACCCCAAACGAACACCAUCAAGCUAAACAGUGAUGGGAGCUGUCUUAAUGGAAAGUGUGGAGGGAUUGUUAGAGACUACAAUGGAAGGGUCAUUUUUGCCUAGGCUAUCCCUUUAGGGCCUGGAACUAGCAACUUAGCAGAAGCUGCUGCAUUGCUUUAUGGACUGUCAUGGUGCUCUAGGAAUGGAUUCAAUUCAGUUUGGGGGGAGACUGACUCUCUACUCCUUGCUAACUGCAUAAAUAAGCAGUGGAAGAUCCCUUGGAUGAUUUCUGACCUAAUUGAGAACAUUCAGACUAUAGUUGAAGAUAAGGAAUUUCUUCACACACUGCUACAGAGAAGCAAAUAAACCAGCUGACAAAUUAGCCUCUCUUAGACAUGAGAGUGAUUCAAUUCAAAUUUUCAACUCUUAUCCUGAAAUUCCUACUUCCGUAAAAGGCCUCAUAAACAUGGACAGAUGGAGCAUACCCUCCCUUAGAAUCAAGAAUGUAAAGGACGGAAACAUUAUUUUUGAUCCUACAUAGAUACUCAAGCCACUAGGGCCUCUUUUGGGUAGGAUAGAUCAAGUAUUCUAGCCUUUUCUCAAUGAUGUUGUACAAAGUUUGGGAUGCCAAACUUAACUUGUAACUUUUUGCACAUCAAUGAUCAAUGGAGGCAAUGUUUAAAUUAAAAAAAAAAAAAAAAAAAAACAAACAAACAAACAAA